CAAAACGACAGUUUGGCC
rnacentral:rRNA from 1 species